UGAGGAAUAUUGGUCAAUGGCCGAGAGGCUGAACCAGCCAAGUCGCGUGAAGGAUGAAGGAUCUAUGGUUUGUAAACUUCUUUUAUAGGGGAAUAAAGUGCGGCACGUGUGCCGUUUUGUAUGUACCCUAUGAAUAAGCAUCGGCUAACUCCGUGCCAGCAGCCGCGGUAAUACGGAGGAUGCGAGCGUUAUCCGGAUUUAUUGGGUUUAAAGGGUGCGUAGGUGGCAGCUUAAGUCAGCGGUGAAAGUUUGUGGCUCAACCGUAAAAUUGCAGUUGAUACUGGGUGUCUUGAGUACAGUAGAGGCAGGCGGAAUUCGUGGUGUAGCGGUGAAAUGCUUAGAUAUCACGAAGAACUCCGAUUGCGAAGGCAGCUUGCUGGACUGUAACUGACGCUGAUGCUCGAAAGUGUGGGUAUCAAACAGGAUUAGAUACC
rnacentral:rRNA from 1 species